rnacentral:rRNA from 1 species
AUUGAACGCUGGCGGCAUGCUUAAGACAUGCAAGUCGAACGGUAACGAUGGGUGCUUGCACUCAGGCGACGAGUGGCGGACGGGUGAGUACAACUUAGGAAUCUGCCUAGUAGCUGGGGAUAACUUUAAGAAAUUGAAGCUAAUACCGAAUACGCCCUACGGGGGAAAGCGGGGGAUCUUCGGACCUCGCACUAUUAGAUGAGCCUAAGCCGGAUUAGCUAGUUGGUGGGGUAAAGGCCUACCAAGGCGACGAUCCGUAGCUGGUCUGAGAGGACGAUCAGCCACACUGGGACUGAGACACGGCCCAGACUCCUACGGGAGGCAGCAGUCGGGAAUAUUGGACAAUGGGGGCAACCCUGAUCCAGCAAUGCCGCGUGUGUGAAGAAGGCCUGCGGGUUGUAAAGCACUUUCAAAUGUGAAGAAGGGGAGAUGGUUAAUAGCCAUUUUCAUUGACGUUAACAUUAGAAGAAGCACCGGCUAAUUUAG